GUCUCAGCACACAUACUAAAAUUGAAAUGAUACAGAUAGGAUUAACAUAGCCCCUGUUCAAGGAUGGCAUGCAUAUUUGAGAAGUGUUCUAUAUUUUU
rnacentral:snRNA from 1 species